CAGCUUGUUGGCGGGGUAAAAGCCCACCAAGGCGACGAUCUGUAGCUGGUCUGAGAGGACGACCAGCCACACUGGGACUGAGACACGGCCCAGACUCCUACGGGAGGCAGCAGUGGGGAAUUUUGGACAAUGGGCGCAAGCCUGAUCCAGCCAUGCCGCGUGUGGGAAGAAGGCCUUCGGGUUGUAAACCACUUUUGUCAGGGAAGAAACGGCUUUUACUAAUAUUAGGAGCUAAUGACGGUACCUGAAGAAUAAGCACCGGCUAACUACGUGCCAGCAGCCGCGGUAAUACGUAGGGUGCAAGCGUUAAUCGGAAUUACUGGGCGUAAAGCGUGCGCAGGCGGCUUUGCAAGACAGAUGUGAAAUCCCCGGGCUCAACCUGGGAACUGCAUUUGUGACUGCAUGGCUAGAGUACGGUAGAGGGGGAUGGAAUUCCGCGUGUACCAGUGAAAUGCGUAAAUAUGCGGAGGAACACCGAUGGCGAA
rnacentral:rRNA from 1 species